UCUCUUCAGAGUGUAUAAAUCUUUUGCCUUUUACUAAAGAUUUCCAUGGAGAGG
ensembl:snRNA U5 U5 spliceosomal RNA